AACGAACGCUGGCGGCAGGCCUAACACAUGCAAGUCGAACGGACCCUUCGGGGUUAGUGGCGCACGGGUGCGUAACGCGUGGGAAUAUACCCUUUGGUGCGGAAUAAUAUCUGGAAACGAAUACUAAUACCGCAUAAUAGCUCCGGCUCAAAGAUUUAUCGCCAAAGGAUUAGCCCGCGUCUGAUUAGGUAGUUGGUGGGGUAAAAGCCUACCAAGCCGACGAUCAGUAGCUGGUCUGAGAGGAUGAUCAGCCACACUGGGACUGAGACACGGCCCAG
rnacentral:rRNA from 1 species